CACAGAUCACGUGGAUAUGGUGAAAAGCCUAGAACACCACUGGAAAUUGACGUCGUCUUAAGAGGGCUCCCUUGCCUCACCGCGACAGUGCGAUGCCAUCAUCUGUCUUCCGCUCGAUAUGUUCAGAUUGAAAGCCCCCUCACACAUCAUUUCCCGCCACCUUAUUUUCCGGAAAUUCCAUCUAGGCCCCAGCGACCCACGACGGCAAAAGCAAAGAGAGCCUCUCACCGAGGCGCUCCUAGCUCUCUUGAAACAAUGUGGUUCCACCAAAUCACUGCAACAAAUUCACACCCAAAUGCUUAUAAACUCCAUACAAAAACCCAAUUUUCUGCUAUCCAAGCUCAUUGAUCUCAAAGACUUCAACUAUGCUUCCCUUCUCUUCUCUCAAAUGCCCCAGCCUAAUGACUACGCUUUCAAUGUCAUGAUCCGUGGACUAACCACCACAUGGCAGCUAUUCAAUCUUACCAUUGAAUUCUAUUACCGAAUGAAGUCUUCGGGCAUAAGGCCGAAUAAUUUCACCUACCCAUUUUUAUUCAUUGCGUGCGCGAAUCUUUUAGCAUUGAAUCAUGCCCAGGCGGCCCAUUCAUCAGUUUUAAAAAUUGGGUUGGACAAUGACGGUCACGUGAGCCACUCGUUGAUCACAAUGUAUGCCAUGUGCACCGAAUUGCCUUAUGCGCGGAAGGUGUUUGAUGAAAUUGUUGAAAGGGACUUGGUUUCAUGGAAUUCAAUGAUUUCGGGGUACUCGAAAAUGGGCUUUGCCAGAGAUGCAGUGAGAUUGUUUUGGGCAAUGACGGAUGCAGGGUUUGAGCCCGAUGAAAUGACUUUGGUGAGUGUUCUUGGAGCUUGCGGGGAUUUGGGAGAUCUGAGUUUGGGGAGAUGUAUUGAGGGGUUUGUUGUGGAAAAUAAAAUGGAGCUGAACUCUUACGUUGGGUCUGCUUUGAUUGAUAUGUACAGCAAGUGUGGGGAUCUGUUGUCUGCUAGGAGGGUCUUUGAUGGAAUGCUAAAGAAGGACGUGGUUGCUUGGAAUGCUAUGAUCACAGGGUUUGCACAAAAUGGAAUGUCGGACGAUGCAAUCAUGCUAUUCAAUGACAUGAGAAAAGAAGGAAUCAGCCCAGAUAAAAUCACAUUAAUUGGUGUGCUAUCUGCUUGUGCCUCAGUUGGGUCCCUUGACUUCGGAAAAUGGGUUGAUGCAUAUACAUUGCAGAGAGGCCUACAAUGUGAUACAUAUGUUGCUACUGCCUUAAUUGACAUGUAUGCAAAGUGUGGAUGUUUAGAUCACGCACUUAGAGUUUUUGAAGACAUGCCUCAGAAAAAUGAGGUCUCUUGGAAUGCAAUGAUCUCAGCUCUUGCUUUUCAUGGCCAGGCCAGGGAGGCAUUAUCACUCUUUCUGCACAUGUUAAGGGACCAUGGGACCGUUCGACCAAAUGAUGUCACAUUUGUAGGGGUACUUUCUGCAUGUGUACAUGCUGGAUUGGUUGAUGAGGGCCGUCAAUUGUUUAAUUCAAUGGGUCUGUCAUUUGGUUUGGUCCCUAAAAUUGAGCAUUAUUCUUGUAUGGUUGAUCUUUUGGCUCGUGCAGGACGUGUGCAUGAAGCAUGGGAUUUAAUUGAGAAGAUGCCUGAAAAACCAGAUGAAGUAACAUUAGGGGCAUUGCUUCGUGCCUGUCUGAAAGUAAAAAACGUUGAUGUCAGUGAGCAUGUAAUGCAGCUGCUUUUUGAUAUGGAGCCCUCAAAUUCGGGAAACUACAUUAUUUCAUCAAAGAUAUAUGCAAGUUUGAAUAGAUGGGAUGAUGCAGCGAGGAUGAGAAUGUUGAUGAGGCAGAAAGGUGUGACUAAAACUCCUGGUUGUAGCUGGAUUGAGAUUGGGAAUCAACUUCAUGAAUUUCAUGCUGGUGAUGGAUUCCACCUUAAUUUAAAAGGGAUUUACUUCAUUCUUAAUUUUUUGAAUGAGGAGAUGAAGCUGGAAGGCUAUUUUCCAAAUAUUUAUUUAUUAUAGUUGCAAAGGACGAGAAGAUUGUUGAACUCACAAAGGAUGCCAAAUGCCAAAGAAUUUGCUGGAAUAUUUGUGUUUGUCCAGAUCAUAUUUAGUAUAGGUACUCGUACAUGAAGUACUAGAUCGAAGGCAAAGAUCAGACCGAAUUGACUUGCGAAUUGGAAGAUAAAAAGAACACGUAUUUGGAAGGACCCAGCACAACCGGAAGCUUAAUUGUAGAAUUAUUUGUAAUAGGGCUAUGUGUGAGGUAGGAAUUUUUUGUAACUCUUGCGUUUUGUUUCUUACAUGAUUUCUGAGCAAGAGUUGAGCAAUGCAUGCAUACUAGGACACAUGAGUCUAUAGGAUUGCACUAAAGUCAUAAACACAAACUCACCUUUCAUGGUUUACUUAAAGAGUUUGUUAAAUGAAUCCUAAACUCAAAACAUGGUUUUCAAAGGGACAAGUUUUUAACAUCUUGGUUUUAUAAACAUUUUCAUACUUGGUCCCAAAUGUGUCAAAACUAGUCUUAUGUCCAAAAGCUUCAAAGAAGUCAAGUAUUUUUCAUAAAAGGACAUAAUGACAUAUAAGAUAUCAAACGAGCUUUCAAAUGGGUUUUUAUUAACAAGAUAUCUUAUAAUCAAGGGAAAACUCACUUGGACAAGUUUUGAACUUCAUUAGACUCAAUAUCUUUCUCAUAUUUUGUCCAAGAAAUGUUUUAAGUCAUCAAAAGGUUUUUUGACAAGGAAAAACCAAGCAAUCGUCGUUUAACGUAGUGCAACCUCGAGUCCUGAACAACUUUCGGUUUUUGGGGCAUAACUUUUGCUAGAAAGGUCCAAAGAGGACGAUCUUGGUAUCUAUGGAAAGCUAAGAAAAUUUUCGACAACUUUUGUGUUGAUGACUUUUUCUGAUUUAGGGUUAUAGUUGUCCAAAAUAGGGGAAUGAUUGACCACUACAGGGGAAUGGUCGACCAGCAAUUCCAGUAGCCAUUUUUCCUCAUAGACCAGGUGAAUGGUCGACCAGAGAAAGUGAAUGGUCGACUAGUGGCCUCGUGCCCAACGAUGUAACGGUUAGAAAACGGCUAGUUUUGUUUCUGAGUUGCUCCCAACGGCUGGUUAACGACUAUAAGGGCUUUUUGGCUAUAAAUACAAGUCCAUAGACUUGUUUAGUAUGGUUUUUGAUUGUUGUUGAUCAUAUUUGUGAAAAAUAUCCUUGAAUCCAAAACCUAACACUUUGCACUUUGCGUCUAAGUCAAUCAUUCAAAAGUGCUCAUUUUCUCUUGCUCAUUGAUCUUGUGUGAAUCAUUCCUUGAGAGAUAAUAGUGAGGAUUUGAUUGUAUUUCAUAUUUAGCUCAUUUGAGGAGCAUUUCGUUGUAUAUCAUCUUCUUGGUUGUAAGGUUCUUUGUGAACCGGUUUGUUGGAAGGUUCUUUGUGAACCACUUGGUGAAGGCUCUUUGUGAGCAUGUAGGGAUUUGUUCCCGAAGUUGUAAGGCUUGCUCUGCCGGGGAAGGAGUGUUUAUAGUGGACUAUGGAAUCCUUGGCUUGGUGCUAAGGCGUGGACAUAGGCUUGGUGCCGAACCAUGUUAAAUCCAGGGUGAGUCUGGAUCCAGUUUUCAGCCAAGAGGAAUGUCUUAUUGCCCCACUAAUUGCAUCUUGACGUACUUUGACUUGCAGUCAACAGAAUUGCAAUCGCAUUGACACACGGGAUCACACCUCAUUUCCUUUCAUACAUGCUGUCUGAAGUUGAAGAUCACUGGGGCGUAAAUUGGAAGCGUAUGUAUUUAUCAUGGCAUCAUUGAAGGUCAUACAUGGUGGGAGGUGAAUCGCAGAAUUGGGCCAUCACUUUUUUUUAUGGCAAUCCAUUGCGCGCACAAAUGACCUGUUGCUGCAGAAGUACAAGGCAAGGCCGACACCACCAGCCACUGUCACACUAUCAUUUCCAGCAGUGGAGUGACUUGGCUGCUGAAGAAAUCUUCAUACACUUACCUUCAAAGGUGAUGAGAAAGCAUUGAAAUCUCUCGAUCAAGAUAAAAGGCCAUCCCCACCAUGAUGAAACGUACAAAGCCCUGAGGUCCCUCAGUGCUUCCUGUCUGUGGUUACCCUUUUCUUUUUGCCAUGAUUGAUGAUAUUGUCAUCUGCGCAGCUUGCACUACUCUUCCAAGCUCUACCCAAAUGAUUUCUGUACAAAAAGGCACGCUCAGUAAUCAACCCCAAACCCUGACCCCUACUCAUCUCCCAAGGGCUGGAAUCUCCACACCCACAGAUGAUGUGUGUAUGCACUGUUUGCAUCUUUUUUUUUUUUUUCAUGUGUUGUUUAGUACUUGCUGUCAUCUUUAGUCCAUCUCAACCCCACUUUUUUUUAAAAAAUAAAAAUAAAAGUUAAAGCGUAAUAAAUCUAUGCGCUAUGCUUAAGAUCAAAUUAUGCAAUAAAAUUAACACAAAUCUAGAUCUUGUGUUUGUGUCA